CGUCGUAUCGCAUGUGUACACAUGGGCUACUUUUAAUUCAUUUGCUUGGCGAUUUCGUCAAAUCGGUUAACAGCAGCCAGGGGUUAUGUAUCGCCAAUUGUUUUUUCGAGAGCGACUUUUCGGUCCGCUUCCGAGCUCUAAUCGUUAAUCUAAUUACAAACACGUUCUAGCUACAUGCUUGGCGCCCUUCUUCGAGGAUUACGUUUCGUCUUACGUAACCUUCAAUCGUUUAACACUGUCCUGUCCACGACUGAGACGCCAUUACUGGUCAUUAGAUUACUCAUUGAGAAUCCUAUCGAGCUCGUGAGAACCAGAGAUGGGCUUUAUUUCAUUUACUUUAUCGUUAUACAUGUCUUUCUAUUGGUCAGAAGUAGCAGCAAUUAUUCGAGUCACGAAUGUCUCGUUUCUAUUUUACAUUUAUAUACUAUAAUUUACAAUAACAAAGGCAGGUUUUAGGAGAACUUGUAGACAGGACUUAUCUAGUUCUGAUUACCCCUAUAUUUUACGAUCGAUCAAGUGAAAUUUCUCCGAAGGAAAGGUAAUUCUCGAGAAUCGCUCUCAUCACGUAAGCAUCGAAAUUAGUAAGACUACUUAUUAUUUUAUUCUCACGUAUAAUCUCAUACGAUUAAUUGUUGAUUAUUGUCUAUUCUACAGCAUGCAAGAAUAUAAGGAUUGUUAUUCGGCAAACUUUCGCGAGGUUUGUUUUCGAACUUUCCUGACGGCUUUGUUGACACUAUUUCGAGAUCCCUACAAUAAAUCGCAAUACACUUGGCGAUUCCACGCGGUGGUCUAAAAAUAAUAGUCGAUAGAAGCGAUGAAAGUCGAAUUGAUAAUAUAGUUGACAGCGUUAUCGUAGAAUUUUGGAACAGCGAAAAACUAUCUCGAACUAUCGUUACAAUAUAUAUGUGUGUAUGUAUAUCUGUAUAUAUUAAUUCGGUUUAUUGAAUUGAGGCCACACGUUCUUCGAGGAGGCGGCCUUGGCCUGCUCCUUCAAGAUUCUCGCUUGCUCCUGUAUUUCUUGUUUCUGUUUCACGAAGGAAAAGUCUAUGAAAAUGCUGGAAAAUAAAUAAACCGCACGCUACACGGCGAAUUAGACGUUUUCUUUAUAUUUUUAAGCGAAAUCUUUUCUCGAUACUUACGGUAUAGCGGACGCCUGGCAUUUAAUAGUGUCAGCGAUAUUCUGUUCGGAGUAGAGGCCAAUCGGUGAAUUGAACUGCUUGUGGACUACCUACGGAAUCAAAUGAAACGAAACGAUGAGGGGAAAGGUUGCAAAUCGAUUGCAAAUUAAUCACAAUGGAGCUGGGGCUCCAAAGAUUCGCUACGCAUUCUUAAGUUACGCCACUGUGUGUUAAGUUAAUUCUUAACUCCUCUGAAGUAAGUCAUAAAUUUACUGUUAGACGCAUUUAAAGUAUUCGUCGUCCUUCGGAACGUUGCAGUCUCAUCAGAUAAUUUUGUAUAAAUAAACAGAAGUACAUACGCCCUUUAUUAAAAACCGAUCGUCUAAUCGUUGACGGGCGGGUUAAUCAUUAGCAAAAUAUCGAUAGCAUGCUAUAUUAUCGUCGGCACUCGCAACCAUAGACAUUUCGAUGGUAUUUUCAGAUAUUUAGUUAGAAUUUCAACUAUUUUUUAACGUGAAUACAUCGUUGUAUUUUCUGUUCAAAGCGGAAGCGUCGUUUGUGGAAGCGGAAGCGAUUCAUGAAUAAAGUGGU